GGAUUAGAUACCCUGGUAGUCCACGCCGUAAACGAUGUCAACUAGCUGUUUGUGUUCUUGAAAUGUGAGUAGCGUAGCUAACGCGCUAAGUUGACCGCCUGGGGAGUACGGCCGCAAGGUUAAAACUCAAAUGAAUUGACGGGGGCCCGCACAAGCGGUGGAGCAUGUGGUUUAAUUCGAUGCAACGCGAAGAACCUUACCAUCCCUUGACAUCCAGAGAAUUUUCUAGAGAUAGAUUAGUGCCUUCGGGAACUCUGAGACAGGUGCUGCAUGGCUGUCGUCAGCUCGUGCCG
rnacentral:rRNA from 1 species